CAUUGGCCUACAUACGUAGUUAUUUAAUAGUAAAUUACAAAAUGUACACUGUUCUAUACACAUACACACAUCUAAUAGUAAUACACAAAACCAUAUCAUGAUCAUAAACAACAUAAAAAAUUAUUAGUUUUUAAAUAUAAAUAAAAUAUGAUAAGUUGUGACAAUAAGGCACUAUUUUGAAAUAGACCUAUUUCGUUUACUUGCCGAAUAAGGACCACGAGGAUCACCAUAUACAGGAUCAAACGCAGAAAAUGUAAAUCUUGUUGGUGUAACUGGACUCCUUGGAGUUGACAUAGUUGUACUAUUUAACGGAGAUGAGCAUGGAGUACUAACCUUUUUUAAUUGUGGUGGACAUUUAUCAGCUAUAAAAGAUGAAUUGCGGUUAAACAGUUAUUUAUUAUAAAUAUGAAUAGAAAUUAUGUUAAAAUAAAAUACAUACCAAAAACUGA